GACGAACGCUGGCGGCGUGCCUAACACAUGCAAGUCGAGCGGGGUUGAAGCGAGGGGUAACUCGAGUUUCUACCUAGCGGCGGACGGGUGAGUAACGCGUGGGCAACCUGCCUCAAGGACUGGGAUAACAGCUCGAAAGGGCUGCUAAUACCGGAUAAGCCUAUGGCCUCGCAUGGGGCCAUGAGCAAAGGGGAAACCCGCCUUGAGAUGGGCCCGCGUCCCAUCAGCUAGUUGGUGAGGUGAAGGCUCACCAAGGCGACGACGGGUAGCCGGCCUGAGAGGGUGACCGGCCACACUGGGACUGAGACACGGCCCAGACUCCUACGGGGGGCAGCAGUGGGGAAUCUUGCACAAUGGGCGAAAGCCUGAUGCAGCGACGCCGCGUGAGCGAAGAAGGCCUUCGGGUUGUAAAGCUCUGUCUGGAGGGACGAAGGAAGUAGACGGUACCUCCGGAGGAAGCCACGGCUAACUACGUG
rnacentral:rRNA from 1 species